rnacentral:rRNA from 1 species
AUACAUGCAAGUCGAGCGGACUGAUGGGAGCUUGCUCCCUGAAGUCAGCGGCGGACGGGUGAGUAACACGUGGGUAACCUGCCUGUAAGACUGGGAUAACUCCGGGAAACCGGGGCUAAUACCGGAUAGUUCUUUUCCUCGCAUGAGGAAAAGUGGAAAGGCGGCUUCGGCUGCCACUUACAGAUGGACCCGCGGCGCAUUAGCUAGUUGGUGAGGUAACGGCUCACCAAGGCAACGAUGCGUAGCCGACCUGAGAGGGUGAUCGGCCACACUGGGACUGAGACACGGCCCAGACUCCUACGGGAGGCAGCAGUAGGGAAUCUUCCGCAAUGGACGAAAGUCUGACGGAGCAACGCCGCGUGAGUGAUGAAGGUUUUCGGAUCGUAAAGCUCUGUUGUUAGGGAAGAACAAGUGCCGUUCGAAUAGGGCGGCACCUUGACGGUACCUAACCAGAAAGCCACGGCUAACUACGUGCCAGCAGCCGCGGUAAUACGUAGGUGGCAAGCGUUGUCCGGAAUUAUUGGGCGUAAAGCGCGCGCAGGCGGUCUCUUAAGUCUGAUGUGAAAGCCCACGGCUCAACCGUGGAGGGUCAUUGGAAGACUGGGGGACUUGAGUACAGAAGAGGAAAGU